rnacentral:rRNA from 1 species
CACGUAGGGUGCGAGCGUUGUCCGGAAUUAUUGGGCGUAAAGAGCUCGUAGGCGGUGUGUCGCGUCGGCCGUGAAAACCUGCAGCUUAACUGUGGGCUUGCGGUCGAUACGGGCAUCACUGGAGUUCGGCAGGGGAGACUGGAAUUCCUGGUGUAGCGGUGGAAUGCGUAGAGAUCAGGAGGAACACCCGUGGCGAAGGCGGCCCUCUGGCUCGACCCUGACGCUGAGGCGCGAAAGCGUGGGGAGCGAACGGG